rnacentral:lncRNA from 1 species
UGGUGUCAAGAGAUGUCAGCUUCACUGAAGAUGAGUUUCCAUUUGCGGGACAUAACUCUGGUGUGAUAGAAUCAAAGAAGUUGACAGGAGAACCUGAUGAUGAUUGGGUUAUAAACAUGGUUGUGGAAGACAGGGGGAGUAAGUCUCAGUCAAGUAAUCAAGAAGAAACAGUGGUGGAGGUUUCAUCUCAUGGAACUCCAAAUGAAAAUGUCAUCAGUAAUGACAUGGUUGAGGAAGUUGAGUCAGAAUCAAAAACUGUAGCUGAGAAUGAAGUUGUUGCAGAACCUGAGCUAGGGAGAGGGUGCAGAGAGAAGGUUUCGUCUGUGAGAUUGAAGGAUUAUGUGAGCUACAAUGCUCAGUACUUGCGAGAACAACCCCAUCACGAUCUCACUACUCCU